rnacentral:rRNA from 1 species
CCUACGGGUGGCAGCAGUGGGGAAUAUUGCACAAUGGGGGAAACCCUGAUGCAGCGACGCCGCGUGAGUGAAGAAGUAAUUCGUUAUGUAAAGCUCUAUCAGCAGGGAAGAAAAUGAUGGUACCUGAGUAAGAAGCCCCGGCUAACUACGUGCCAGCAGCGGCGGUAAUACGUAGGGGGCAAGCGUUAUCCGGAUUUACUGGGUGUAAAGGGAGCGUAGGCUGUGAGGUAAGUCAGCGGUGAAAUGCCCCGGCUCAACGGGGUGAAGUGCCAUUGAUACUGCCUUGCUGGAGUGCGAAUGCCGUAGGAGGAAUGUGUGGUGUAGCGGUGAAAUGCAUAGAUAUCACGCAGAACACCGAUUGCGAAGGCAUCUCACGAAUCCGCGAUUGACGCUGAUGCACGAAAGCGUGGGUAUCAAACAGGAUUAGAUACCCUGGUAGUC